GAUGAACGCUGGCGGCGUGCUUAACACAUGCAAGUCGAGCGAAGCACUAAAGCGGAUUUCUUCGGAUUGAAGGUUUAGUGACUGAGCGGCGGACGGGUGAGUAACGCGUGGGUAACCUGCCUCAUACAGGGGGAUAACAGUUGGAAACGGCUGCUAAUACCGCAUAAGCGCACAGUACCGCAUGGUACGGUGUGAAAAACUCCGGUGGUAUGAGAUGGACCCGCGUCUGAUUAGGUAGUUGGUGGGGUAACGGCCUACCAAGCCGACGAUCAGUAGCCGACCUGAGAGGGUGACCGGCCACAUUGGGACUGAGACACGGCCCAAACUCCUACGGGAGGCAGCAGUGGGGAAUAUUGCACAAUGGGGGAAACCCUGAUGCAGCGACGCCGCGUGAGCGAAGAAGUAUUUCGGUAUGUAAAGCUCUAUCAGCAGGGAAGAAAAUGACGGUACCKACUAAGAGCCCGACUUCC
rnacentral:rRNA from 1 species